UGUCGGAUCUUGUAGCUCAGUGGUUAGAGCACUCGCCUUGUAAGUGAGAGACCCGGGUUUGAUUCCCGGCAGGGCAA